CGAACAACUGCCCUAUCAGCCAGUGAUGGCCGUGUAGUGGACUGCCAUGGCGUUGACGGGAGCGGGGGAUUAGGGUUCGAUUCCGGAGAGGGAGCCUGAGAAAUAGCUACCACUUCUACGGAGGGCAGCAGGCGCGCAAAUUGCCCAAUGUCAAAAAAAAACGAUGAGGCAGCGAAAAGAAAUAGAGCCGACGGUGCCUAGUGCAUUGUCGUAUUCAAUGGGGGAUAUUUAAACCCAUCCAAAAUCGAGUAACAAUUGGAGGACAAGUCUGGUGCCAGCACCCGCGGUAAUUCCAGCUCCAAAAGCGUAUAUUAAUGCUGUUGCUGUUAAAGGGUUCGUA
rnacentral:rRNA from 1 species